UCGAUUCCGCGCAACUGGCAAGGUAAGAUGGACGACCAUCGAGGAGCGUGGGAAAGACAGCGCCGCUUGCCUGGGCAAAUUUC
rnacentral:ncRNA from 2 species